rnacentral:rRNA from 1 species
CAGUCGCCGCGGUAAUACGAAGGGUGCAAGCGUUAAUCGGAAUUACUGGGCGUAAAGGGUGCGUAGGCGGUUAGUUAAGUCUGUCGUGAAAUCCCCGGGCUCAACCUGGGAAUGGCGAUGGAUACUGGCUGGCUAGAGUGUGUCAGAGGAUGGUGGAAUUUCCGGUGUAGCGGUGAAAUGCGUAGAGAUCUGGAGGAAUACCGGUGGCGAAGGCGGCCCCCUGGACAAAGACUGACGCUCAGGUGCGAAAGCGUGGGGAGCAAACAGGAUUAGAUACCCGAGUAGUCCCUGUCUCUUAUAC